rfam:Rattus norvegicus chromosome 5, whole genome shotgun sequence.
GGGGAUUUAGCUCAGCGGUAGAGCACUUGCCUAGCAAGUGCAAGGCCCUGGGUCCGAUCCCCAGCUCCG